ACUUCUGCAUUCAGUACGCAUGGCCUUGUGGAUGCCCAGGAGAGCAGGCUGUCAUCCUUCAUCCUGAGUGUGUGCUCAUCGCAUCUACCUUCGGAAAAGUUUACCUGUCCUGCUGUGGGCCAGCACUAAGACACCUUGUGGAACAAGAGCCUCCAACAUGUGAGCUCCGUGCCAUCUGCAGCAGCAAGGGGAGUGUGGAUCCAAUACUUUGCCCUGCUUGGUCCUGCACUUCUGGAGGUGUGGAGCCACUGCUGGGGCAUCUCUGGAGCUCUCCUUUCUGUCAUAAGGUACAUCUCCUCGCCCUGGCCCCCAUAGGAAGCCACAAGCAGAAAAACAGGUGCCCGCUGGGAGUCAUUCUGGGGUGCUCUGCUCCAAAAGGCUGAGCUGAAUGUCACUUCUCAGAAGCAUUUGCAUUUCUGAAAGCACAGAAAUCUAUCCAUGAGCUGGUAUCUACUAAAACACCAGACGGUUCGGGGCAGCGUGCCCAGAAAUGUUGGUAUUUGUGCU